CGAUUCGGGGAGGUAGUGACAAUAAAUAACGUUGCAGGUGCCUUUGGCCUCUGCAGUCGGAAUGAGUACAAUACAACACCCUUAACGAGGAACAAUUGGAGGGCAAGUCUGGUGCCAGCAGCCGCGGUAAUUCCAGCUCCAAUAGCGUAUAUUAAAAUUGCUGCAGUUAAAAAGCUCGUAGUUGAACUUCGGAACCGGUCGAUUGGUCCGUCCUCUGGAUUGUGUACUGAUCGAUCUGUUCUUCUUCGCGAAGACCGCGUGUGCCCUUAACUGGGUGUGCACGGGAUUCACGACGUUUACUUUGAAAAAAUUAGAGUGUUCAAAGCAGGCAUUCGCUUGAAUAUCUCAGCAUGGAAUAAUAGAAUAGGACUUUGGUCUUAUUUUGUUGGUUUCCGAGACCGAAGUAAUGAUUAAUAGGGACAGAUGGGGGCAUUCGUAUUUCAUUGUCAGAGGUGAAAUUCUUGGAUUUAUGAAAGACGAACUUCUGCGAAAGCAUUUGCCAAGGAUGUUUUCAUUAAUCAAGAACGAAAGUUGGAGGCUCGAAGACGAUCAGAUACCGUCCUAGUUCCAACCAUAAACGAUGCCGUCUGCGGAUCAGCGGUCGCUCAUUUAAGGCUCCGUUGGCACGCUAUGAGAAAUCAAAGACUUCGGGUUCCGGGGGGAGUAUGUUCGCAAGAAUGAAACUUAAAGGAAUUGACGGAAGGGCACCACCAGGAGUGGAACCUG
rnacentral:rRNA from 1 species